rnacentral:lncRNA from 1 species
UUUUGUUCCUAAUUACUCUUUAAACAAAAGUACCACCUACCAGCUCUACCCAAGCUCAGUGCUCCCUUGAGCCAGGCACACCAGGCUCUACAGCACCAGCUCCGUUGGCCAGGUAGAAAAGGUGGGCACAGGCAAUGACACCAUGCCUUGUUGUCCUGCAUGGGGUCAGGUGGACACUGGGAAGUGGUUCACUCUACCCCUUCCUAAGACUCAAAGUCCAAGUCCUCUGUAGCAGUCUCCCAUGGACCCAGUUAAUGUCACGGAGAGUUUCAUGGCUGUAAGAGAUGAAGAAAAUCAUCACUCAGAGAGACACUUGUUGGAACUAACAAAAGAGUACACACAUGAGAGCUCAGAUCUGCAGCCCUAGCUGAAUUCUUUCAUAAGAAUCCCCUCUACCCUCUCAGUAAUAACAACAAUACUAGUUUUCUCUGUCUCCCUUCUGUCUGCAAUUUGCUCUUCCUGGUGGAAGGGAAAGGAAGUGUAAGUUAUUGCAACACUCACAGGGCCUGAACAGCAUCUUCUGUCACUAACAGCAAACCUUAGGAAGCAGAACACACAUCUGACAGAGCUUUGCAGAACCUGGAGACACUCUCCACAUGCUUGUUUACUGACUGAAAAUACAGGCAUGAAAGCAAUUCAAAGCAUGUCCCUCUUUUUUAUCUCACUUAUUUCUCCAGUUUCUGGCACAUCUCAGUAUUUACUAAGCAAAUUCACAAUUGUUUAGCAGAGAAUGCACUGAGAUGGGCCAGAUCUAACUACUCAAGCAGGCAAACUCUAAUGUACAUUUGCCUUGUCCCUUUUGCAACCAAGGAACUCGAAUCAUUCACUCUUUUUGUGAGCUGGAAGGCCUAAAGUAAUAAAAACUGACCCAGCAAUGUCUUACGAUGGUGGUAAGAUGUUGUUAUCUUGUGAGAGAUUCUUCACACAUUGUGGUUGGAGCCAAACUAUCUCAAGCAGAAAUCUGACAGAGGAAUUUUCACCCUGAAUCAGACCCUCAGUUGGGGUAAUGGCAUAAUAAUAUGUUAGUAUGACAUAAUAAUCACAAACACUUUUGUACCAGGCUCCCAUAUUUCUACCAGAUGACAUCUCAGUGCCAUGCAUUUUGCGCAGUAGUUCCACAGUGAGGACCAUGUAAGUGUGCUGAAUCUGCUGAGCACACACAGGUGAUGAUUCCCCAGGUGUGCCUGCAACACCCAAGAUUGGUUGGGCACAAGCAGGUUUACCACAGAAAUCAUGGAAACCCAAGGUUUUGAAGCUUUCAGGUCGUUUUAGGCUCCCUGGUUAUACGCAGGAAAAACAGGUCUGCACACGUGUUGGGGGUGCCAUUCGGGGUGCCUGGAUAGCAACUGAACAUUCAGAGAUGUUUAUUGCUGCAUUACACAGCACUGCUCUUUGAACAGACUACCAGACAUGCAAAAAUACUGGAAAAACAGCCCAAAUUCUGUUGUUUGGUGUGGACAAAAUUUCUGCAUGGGAAAAAAGGGGCUUGCUCAGGAAUCCUAGUUCCAGAGCUAUUCCCCUGACACUGAGGUCUCCAAAACUGAGGAACAGCUAUACUUACUUAGCUCACCCUGAGUGGUUCUCCCCUUCUCCUCCCCAGCUGGACUACACACUGCCAAUCAGCAGAGCUGGUGUACAAAGAGAAACAAAUUAUGCCUGACAGUCCACCAGGAAGCUUCUUUCUGUAAAUGAUUUUUAAUGUAAGGAUUCCAAGUGCUGUAAGACCCUGUGAGCCAGCAGAAGGACACCUGGAGCAGGCUCUGUUUCAUU